CUCUGCCUCCCGAGUGCUGGGACUAAAGGGUUGCGCCACCACCGCCCGGCUAAAAUUGUUUUUAAAGAUUUUUAAUGUGGUUUAAAGAUUUAGAACUCCUGCUGGUAGGUAGUGCAUUUUUUAAAACUUUGUAUAUGUCAAAGCAUUGACGUUUAAGCCUCAUUGUAACCCACUGCUUUAGGUGCUAUUUAUAAACUCCUAUUGUAUGGUGAGAAAACACAGGCCAGUUCAGACAUCUUAGAAACAUUGGGUCAGUGGUAAAUAGCUGGGCUUGAAUAUGACUAUAGGUGGUCUAAGUACUUUCUUCCCUGCCAGUUGUGCUGAAUUGGCACAACACUUUGUUGAAUAUUAGGACUGCCCUUACCCAUCAAUCUAAGACCUUGACCAUACUAGAUAUCUUACUUAGGGUUUUACUGCUGUGAACAGACACCAUGACCAAUGUAAGUCUUAUAAAGGCCAACAUUUAAUUGGGCUGACUUACAGGUUCAGAGGUUUAGUCCACUAUCAUAGAGGUGAGAGUAGGGCAGCAUCUAGGUAGGCAUGAUGCAGUCAGAGCUGAGAGUUCUACCUCUUCAUUUGAAGGCUGCUAGUAGAAGAAUGACUUCCAGGCAGCUAAAAUGAGGGUCUUAAGCCCACACCCACAGUGACACACCUACUCCGACAAGGUUACACCUAAUAGUGCCACUUUUUAGAUUGAGCAUAUUCAAACUGGCACACUAGGCAAGCAUUCUGCCAUUAAACCCUAUUACAUGUCUGUGGGAAUGUUUGUAAAGCUGUUCAUGCCUCUUAACUGUUCUGUCUUUGAGGAUUGAACCCCCAUACGCUGCCAGAGUGGUGAGGGCAGUGUAUUGUGUUGCCUAUUUCUCUUAAAUACUUUCUACUCUACAACUCUGGGGCUGUCUCUUAUUCCCCAUAAGCCAUUCCUUAUCUAUCUAUCUAUCUAUCUAUCUAUCUAUCUAUCUAUCUAUUUAUUUUGAGGCAAGGUUUCAUUUAUUUAUUUAUUUAGUUAGUUAGUUAGUUAGUUAGUUUGAGGCAAGGUUUCACUGUAGUCCUAACUGGCCUUGAACUCCCUAUGACGACUGGACUGUUCUCAAACUCAGAUUUGUUUGCCUCUACCUCCCAAGUGCUGGGUAUGCACUCUACCGCACCCCUAUGCCGUUAUUAGUACAGGUAUUCUGCUUCACAGUCUAAGGCAUCUUAGGGUUUGGGGCUUUCUCGUUUGCUUGCUUUGUGAUUAGGAGACAAGGACUCGCUAUGUAUCCCAAAUUCUCAAUCCUCCUGCCUCUGCCUCCUGGGUUUUGGGAUCGUAAGAGUGUGGUUUUUUUUUCAGGCUUUUAAGGGAAAUAGACAAUAACAAAAUGUGAUACAAUUUAGUAUUGUGUGAAAACUAAAGUGUGUGUUCAUGCUAUAGCACAGAGAAUUUUGUAUUUUAGGUAAUUGUAUUUUGGGUUGAUAAAAUUAUAGGCCUUUCUCUAGACAUGCUGCUAUUGGUCCCAAGCAGUGUAAGAAUUGUCUGGAAUUUUAGCAGUUAUCAUGCUUAUAUUUCAUUGGCAGAGAUUUAAGUUGAAUGGAUUUAGACAGAAGCAUGGGAUAAGAUUAUGUUUAAAAAUUGCCUUCGUGGUCUUUAUAAUAACUUCAGUAUUUUAUGCAGAGAGUAGAUGAACAUUAAAAGGGCGGGAUAUGGCCAGACAGCAAAAUAUAGAUAAGUGAAAUAAUUUCUACAUUAGACCUAAAUAUUUUCUAAACCUAACUCUGCAACAGUUUUGAGUGGCUUAAGAUGAAUGGUUUCUGUUGCAAAAAUAAUUGCUUUGACUUUUACAUGUAUUCACAAUGUUAAAUCGAUUUUCUCUAAGUUAUUGGUUCUCAGCCUUCCUAAUGCUUGGACCCUUUAAUACAGGUCCUCAUGUUGUGGUGAACUGACCUCCCCCAACCAUAGAAUUAUUUCAUUGCUACUUCAUAACUGUAAUUAUGCCACUGCUAUAUGAAUUAUAAUAUGAUUAUCUGAUAUGCAGGAUAUGUGACCCACAAGUUGAGAACCACUGCUCUAAGUCUUAAAAAGAGUUUGGAAUCUGCUGCUCUGUUGACAGAUCAUUCAUUUUCAGAAUGGGUGUGCUCACAUUCAUCCACAUUCUUUCCUGUGUAUAUUUUUCUUUUAAACUUUCAGGUGCCAUUGGCAUGUGAAUUUCUGUUUCUUUCCAAGUUACAAUUUAGGAAUGUUGAUUAUGAGCCUAUUAUGAAUAAUAUCCCAGUAUAUAUGCUAAUAUAAUACUUUGCUUAUAUUUAUAUAAUUGUGGGAAAUUGAAGGUUUUAAUGAUCUUUGGGGCUUGAUCAUUUAGUGUGUAUUGUCUAUUAAUGUACAGUACUUUGAUUGUUUUCAUUUUUAACAAAAGUAGACUGUUUAGGAAUUUGAUAAAUUUUUCAGAUGGACCAUCAACUGAUAAAGACCCUGAAGAAAAGAAAAAAGAGCCUGCAAUUUCAUCACAGAAUAGCCCUGAAGCAAGAGAAGAAAGGUAGCUCACUUUGUAUGUAAAUUGAUCUCUGCUAAGGUUGCUGUCUUAGGAUUUCUAUUGCUGUGAUAAAGAAUAUGAUCAAACUUGGCAGUGGUGGGUAAUACAUGCCUUUCAUCUCAGUAAUUAGGAGGCGGAGUCGAAUGGGUCUCUAAGUUGGCCAGGACAACAGAGAAACCCUGUCUCAAAAAAAAAAGAACAACAACAACAUC
rnacentral:lncRNA from 1 species